CCUGAUGGCUCAGAUGGUAAAGAAUCUGCCUGCAAUGCAGGAGACCUGGGUUCGACCCCUGGGUCAGGA
rnacentral:tRNA from 1 species